rnacentral:rRNA from 1 species
CACGCCGUAAACGAUGAGUGCUAGGUGUUGGGGGUCAAACCUCAGUGCCGCAGUUAACGCAUUAAGCACUCCGCCUGGGGAGUACGUUCGCAAGAAUGAAACUCAAAGGAAUUGACGGGGACCCGCACAAGCAGCGGAGCAUGUGGUUUAAUUCGAAGCAACGCGAAGAACCUUACCUGGACUUGACAUCCCUUGGCCCACUUCUUAAUCGAAGUUUUCCCUUCGGGGACCGAGGAGACAGGUGG